GACGAACGCUGGCGGCGUGCUUAACACAUGUAAGUCGAACGGAAAGGCCCUGCUUUUGUGGGGUGCUCGAGUGGCGAACGGGUGAGUAACACGUGAGUAACCUGCCCUUGACUUUGGGAUAACUUCAGGAAACUGGGGCUAAUACCGGAUAGGAGCUCCUGCUGCAUGGUGGGGGUUGGAAAGUUUCGGCGGUUGGGGAUGGACUCGCGGCUUAUCAGCUUGUUGGUGGGGUAGUGGCUUACCAAGGCUUUGACGGGUAGCCGGCCUGAGAGGGUGACCGGCCACAUUGGGACUGAGAUACGGCCCAGACUCCUACGGGAGGCAGCAGUGGGGAAUAUUGCACAAUGGGCGGAAGCCUGAUGCAGCAACGCCGCGUGCGGGAUGACGGCCUUCGGGUUGUAAACCGCUUUCGCCUGUAACGAAGCGUGAGUGACGGUAAUGGGUAAAGAAGCACCGGCUAACUACGUG
rnacentral:rRNA from 1 species